AUUUAAGUUGCCAUUACCGAACCAUCGCAUCAUUUCGUUGGAACGCACCCUCCCAUUAAAAAAGAAUACCAACAUCAUGCAUAUCCCCACUUCAAAAUUAAUUAAAAUACCCUACUGAUAUUAAUUGUAUAUAAUACUAUUAUUUCUUGAACGUUCCUUUCCUACUAAAAUGUAUCAGCCGCAUUUUUUCCCUAACCGGCACACCUUUCGGUUCUUCAAAAUCCUUUUUAUUUCUUCAACCGCCACAUCAUUCGAAUCUCCAAAUCUUAAACGUUCGUCAACUGAAACGAAAUUUAUAUCCCGUUACUAUCUCCUAAUUUCGUUCUCUGUUGUUCAAAUUCAUUCUGAUAUUGCAGCCCUUCACUCACGCUCGAAUUCGACAUCGCUUCACUCACGCUCGACAUCAAACAAAUUAGAACACAAUUGAUUGCGAUUUGCAUAUGGUGAUAUCAGAGGCCAAUUUUACGGCGAUUCACGUAGAUCAAUUGAUGGCGAUUCGAAGAGAAAACAGGGCAAUGGUCCUAAUGGUUUGUAGAGGCGAAUUUGUUUUUAAGGAAUUCGAAGAAGAGUGAAGAAUGAUCAAUAUGCUUCAACUAUCGAUGGUAUAUGAAGUUGAUCUAAUUAUAAAUCCAUGAUUCAAUCUACAAUGGUAGACUAUUAAAUCAUCUGCGUUUUCUGUUUUCUAUAAUCCCCGUUCUUUUUCUCUUGAGUUGCAAUUAGUGUAACAAUUUCACGAUUCAGACGAUUGAAUUCUAUGCAGAAAAUUUCAAUUGAAAUCAAGUAAGAAUCAAAUUUUCAAUUGAAAUGAACUCUUUUUUGAAUGAUUAAAAUAAUAGUUGGAAUCAA